rnacentral:rRNA from 1 species
AUACGGAGGGUGCAAGCGUUAAUCGGAAUUACUGGGCGUAAAGCGCACGUAGGCGGAUUGGAAAGUUGGGGGUGAAAUCCCAGGGCUCAACCCUGGAACUGCCUCCAAAACUAACAGUCUAGAGUUCGAGAGAGGUGAGUGGAAUUCCAAGUGUAGAGGUGAAAUUCGUAGAUAUUUGGAGGAACACCAGUGGCGAAGGCGGCUCACUGGCUCGAUACUGACGCUGAGGUGCGAAAGCGUGGGGAGCAAACAGGAUUAGAAACCCUAGUAGUCC